GACGAACGCUGGCGGCGUGCUUAACACAUGCAAGUCGAACGGAAAGGCCUCUUUCGGGGGGUACUCGAGUGGCGAACGGGUGAGUAACACGUGAGUAACCUGCCCUUGACUUUGGGAUAACUUCAGGAAACUGGGGCUAAUACCGGAUAGGAGCUCCUGCUGCAUGGUGGGGGUUGGAAAGUUUCGGCGGUUGGGGAUGGACUCGCGGCUUAUCAGCUUGUUGGUGGGGUAGUGGCUUACCAAGGCUUUGACGGGUAGCCGGCCUGAGAGGGUGACCGGCCACAUUGGGACUGAGAUACGGCCCAGACUCCUACGGGAGGCAGCAGUGGGGAAUAUUGCACAAUGGGUGGAAGCCUGAUGCAGCAACGCCGUGUGCGGGAUGACGGCCUUCGGGUUGUAAACCGCUUUCGCUCAUGACGAAGCUUUGUGUGACGGUAGUGGGUAAAGAAGCACCAGCUAACUACGUG
rnacentral:rRNA from 1 species